AUUAGUAUUUGUUAAGUUUACGGUUGCACAGUGUGCGGCGAGGGUUGCAGGAUGUCAGGUGCCUCUGAUUGGCGUUUCAAAGUACUCCGCAAUUGUUUUCUCAAAUAUCAAUGGGAGAGAAUGCACAAAUACCUAUAUCUCUGUCAAUGCAUUGUAGGGUUACGGGUUUCGAGGACCAGAUGGCAUUUGGUCAUAAUCCACAUGCCUUGCCUCUACUUUGACAUCUUGCAUGCUCGUUUAGUUUGCGCCUUUUCAGAUUUUUGAUGCAGAAGAUCAUAAGAUUUCAUACUAUGGCAAGUGUAACAAGAGACCUCAGUGCAAAUUAUCUAAAAGGCUUUAUAAGACCAGUCGCCUGCAAAAAUAUUUUUAGCAAGAUCAGGAAACGCAUUUUAUUUAGUCGUCGUAGUGUGUGUAGACAGCAGAAUAAUUCUAAUAAUGAUGAUAUUUCUGAUGCGGAGGAAUUAGGGUUCAUAAAGGCUCACUACUAAUUAUCUUAUCCGUGUUUUCGUCGCCCGCUUAGCAAUUAUGACUUUGCGCUUGUGGGGAUGCAUUUUGAAUCUGGCCCAGGGAACAUCUGGCUAUGAAGACCACGCGAACAUAAAUCUGGCUAUGAAGAAUGCCUUAAGAUUAAAAGGGCAACUCAAUAUCUGGCUCAAUGGUGAUCCGUAAUCCGUAAUCUGGUGGUAAUUUGGCUCAACUUCUAGUUAUAUAGGUAGGGGGGCACACAAAUGAGAAUAGAGAAGUUAUAUAGGUAGGGCCUAGAGAUUAUUAUAUCUGUCAUAGAACAACAAUGCCCGAUCAUGAUAGAGAUUCUGCAGGAGCAUGCAUGGUUCUUGUUGUCGCAAGUUCUCGAGAAAAGUAGGGGGCACUCCGUUCCUCUCUGAACAACUGGACCAUGAUGUGGUGGUUGAUAUGACCGCUAGGGCAAGCUGCCAAAGGAAUGCAGGUUGUAGAUGUUAAAAGACAAAUAGAGCAACUUCAAAGGACUUAUCCAUCAACUUCUAAUUUAUCAAGGCAAUGUGUUGAAGGAUGACACCACGUUAGAGGAAAACAAAGUCACAGAGAAUAAUUUCCUCCUUGUUAUGUUAUGACUAAAUCCUCAACACCUAGAGGGCCAUCUGCACAGCUGGCCUCAGCAACUACUCCUACCUGGACACCAAUUCCCUUCACAGCAGUGAGUGAAGAUAUCAAAGAGGCAUCAUCCAUUUAAAAAAUUAAAGAAUCUGAAAGAGCCACAGACAUAAAAUUGGAUGUCGAGUCACGAAGAUAACUAGCUUUGCAUUCUGAUAGGCCAAUUUUCUGCAUUUCUGCAUUUGUGCUGCUGGAAGUUUGGAAUUUAUAUGUGAAAAAUAGAGAAGAGAAAGAAGAUUUGUUGAGAGGCAUUAUCAUUGGCACUGGACUUGCCUCCCCUCUUCCUGUCCUUGAGAAGGCAUUGCCUACUUGCCUGUUUUCUAUACAUAAUGUUUUAAUUUCCAUGGUCUUUUUCUUCUGCUAUCUAGAUGCCUUUUAUCCAAGGUUGUAUUCAAGAACUGAUAAUUAGGUAUUUUGUAGGAAAUCUUGAUUGUGUGGAGAGAGCAUGACCAGAUCUUAGUAGAUGGAUGUAAACAACUUUCUGCUUAGCUGAUAGUUGAUGUUUUGGAUUAUUAUUUUUCAGAGUAAGACGUGACAUUGUCUCACCACAUUUGUUAAUUUAAACUAUAAACUUUCUCU